GGGGUUGUGGCUCAGCGGUAGAGCACUUGCCUCUCGUGUGAGACCCUGGGUUCAAUCCUCAGCACCACA
rnacentral:tRNA from 1 species